rnacentral:rRNA from 1 species
AUUGAACGCUGGCGGCAGGCCUAACACAUGCAAGUCGAGCGGUAGAGAGGUGCUUGCACCUCUUGAGAGCGGCGGACGGGUGAGUAAAGCCUAGGAAUUUGCCUGGUAGUGGGGGAUAACGCUCGGAAACGGACGCUAAUACCGCAUACGUCCUACGGGAGAAAGCAGGGGACCUUCGGGCCUUGCGCUAUCAGAUGAGC